UACGUAGGUGGCAAGCGUUGUCCGGAAUUAUUGGGCGUAAAGGGCGCGCAGGCGGCCUGUCAAGUCUGUCUUAAAAGUGCGGGGCUCAACCCCGUGAUGGGACGGAAACUGGCAGGCUGGAGUGUCGGAGAGGAAAGCAGAAUUCCUAGUGUAGCGGUGAAAUGCGUAGAUAUUAGGAGGAAUACCAGUGGCGAAAGCGGCUUUCUGGACGACAACUGACGCUGAGGCGCGAAAGCCAGGGGAGCAAACG
rnacentral:rRNA from 1 species